AGAGUGAAAACUCGUGGCGUGUGUGUGUGUCUGUGUGUAGUCGAGGUUGGCUUUUUUCUUUUGGCCAACCACCAGCGUUUCUUCCUCGGGUUGUAUGAGACCAACGUCUUCACAGAAUCUCCAAACUUUCGAUUAGGAGAGGCGAGGACCCUAAAACUAAUCAAAGACCUGACUGGACCAACUGGAAUCCGGAUUAUCUUUUCAUUACCCGUUAAUGUAGUAUUUGCCUGCAGGCUGUUUUGAAGACCUCCAGAUCUCCCCCCCCCCCCCUGCUGAGUCUCCACCCUCCUCCGCUGCCUCCCGUCCACCACAGACAUGAUCAUCCGGCUGGGAAGACUGACGCCCGGCUACUUCAGACUGCUCCAGAGGCAAGUGGCCGGAGAGGUUCAGACCAAGCCUCACGACCGGGCCGUGAACCAGAUUGCCAUGAUGCUGGCCAUCAUGGGCCUGGGCCUGUCCUACUACAGUGCCAAGCAGAUGACCGAGACGGCCCCGGACCAGCCGCCGCCCUGAUCAGAGCCCCGACACCAGCCUGAAAUACUCUGAAGCCACCCGCACGACUACAAGAUGAUGACGAUUUGACCGGGUGGGCUGGGACAGAGAAAGUGGUUGAGAACGUAGGCCUGGGGCCCGCCAGCACCCUUUUCCCACAUCCAUCACCCUCUCCUGCUCUCACCAACGAUAGUGUUGAGAGGGCUCUAGUCCUGCUGUAAGGACCUGUUGUGUUUUAGUUAGUCCUGCUGGAUGUUGUUCAUCAUGGCCUGGGGGGGGGGGGGGGUGGGUGUUCAGCUAUAGUUGUUGCUGAGGUUCUGAUAAUGCUGUUCUAAACUGUGAACCUUUCUGGUGGUAUAGCGAGGAGGAAGGCGGGUGAAAUGAUGUGAGGGGGUGAGGUCUGCUGAAGGGAUGCGUGCCGCCUGUAAUCAUUUCCUCAAAAGUGGAGCUCUGGGCAGACCGAUUGCUCUCUUCAGUGUUUUCUAUAUAUUCUUCUUUUUUUUUUUCAAUCACUCUCCACUUUAGGAAAUCCCUGUUGCGUGUCCAGAAUCUAAGCGGGACCUUCUCUCUCGGUCCAUAUUCAUGCUUGUUUUGGUAUCUGUAACAGUAUUUGCACAGUAUACGAGUGAAACGUUUUUAGGAAGGACUUUGACGUUGUAUUCAUCACUACUUGUAUAUUUCCCCCUGUUCUGUUUCUGAGCCCUGGGCUGCACACCAGGACUGUCAUUGAAACGUCUUUCUUCAUUGAACUGUGCAUGUGUGUGCGUGCCCUAAUUUUAACCUAGAAUCUUCGAAUAUUGUGUUUAUUGAUGAAUGUAUAUGACUUUGUUUAUGAACUGAUUUAAUAAAGCUGUGACACUUUAA